AGAUUGCUGCCUGGUCCUUCUUCUGGAAGCUUCAUCCCAGAGGGGCACCUGGAGAGUAUGAGAGAUGUCCUACCCAGAGAAGAGAAAUCUGGCAGUCUGGCCACAGCACCUUUGCUGAGCUACAGUGGGCCCCACCCAGUUUGAACUUCCCAGAGGCCUUGUUUACAAUAGUUUUACUCUUUUGGUCAACAAUCAUUUGGCACCCAAACACAUGGGGACUGAGAGAAGGCUUGGGACCCUGAAGGAGUUACCCAAAGUCGGAGCUAAGUUACCAGCAGAGGCCCAUUGGAAGCCUCCCCGACUUUGAGCUUCUCAUCCAGUGGAACUGGAAGUUGUUGUUUAAGGAUCCUACUUUUAGUUCAGAGGUGUAUUCUAAAGGAUCUUCUCCAUUGCUUUUUCUCCAAAAUUAAUCUCUACUUGGCUUGUCUGUGUGCAUUUGCAUGAGGAACUGAACCAUUGUUUUCAUAGAUAAAUGAGAGACUGAGUUUUCUCAGCUCCAAAGAGAAAGGCCAUUUUGCUCCUUCCAGCUGAAAGGUGACUCUCGGUGACCAAAAGUCUCGUGGGAUUGUCUGUGGGGUUGACCCCUGUGAGGUGCAGCGGCCCUACAGAGAAUCGUCAACAAAAUUAGUUUAAAAAAGUCUCAUCUGGGAAGCACAUAUGGGAACUGGUCACUUCCCGCUUUGGGUUCUCCUGGAGCUGCUAGACCCCUGGAAAGAGAAACUGAGACAUGCAAGAAGACAGCAAUGACUCACUGGUGAUGCUGUGAAGUCCCAUCUGUAAUGAGCACACACUUCGACCCAUUCCACCAAAACCCUAAGCCAUAGCUCAGUUCCUCCUUUUAAGAAGAAUAACAAAAAAACAAACAAACAAACAAAAAAAAAA